rnacentral:rRNA from 1 species
GACGAACGCUGGCGGCGUGCUUAACACAUGCAAGUCGAACGGAAAGGCCCUGCUUUUGUGGGGUGCUCGAGUGGCGAACGGGUGAGUAACACGUGAGUAACCUGCCCUUGACUUUGUGAUAACUUCAGGAAACUGGGGCUAAUACCGGAUAGGAGCUCCUGCUGCAUGGUGGGGGUUGGAAAGUUUCGGCGGUUGGGGAUGGACUCGCGGCUUAUCAGCUUGUUGGUGGGGUAGUGGCUUACCAAGGCUUUGACGGGUAGCCGGCCUGAGAGGGUGACCGGCCACAUUGGGACUGAGAUACGGCCCAGACUCCUACGGGAGGCAGCAGUGGGGAAUAUUGCACAAUGGGCGGAAGCCUGAUGCAGCAACGCCGCGUGCGGGACGACGGCCUUCGGGUUGUAAACCGCUUUCGCCUGUGACGAAGCGUGAGUGACGGUAAUGGGUAAAGAAGCACCGGCUAACUACGUG